rnacentral:lncRNA from 10 species
GCAGGAGCCACCAUUGUACUAAUACUUUCUCAUGAUGAAGUUAUUAACAAACAUUCAUGAAUUUAUUUAUUCCUAUAUUCAACAGACAUAUAUCGCACACUUACUAUAUGCUGUUGCUGAUGAGAUUAAUAAGACAUGGUUUUUGUGAGGCUGUACAGUGUAAUGACUAGACACGCUACUGAACAACUUUGUUUAAUCAACCAACAUCUCCCAAGUGCCUGCUGUGAGCCAGGUGCCAUUCUAAAUGCAGCAGUGCUCAAGAGAGACAAAAAUCCCUCUGCUGUUAGAACUUACAUCCCAGUGAAGGAAACAGAUAGUAAACUAAAUUAUAUAAUAUAUUAGAAGAUGUUCAAUGCUAUUAAAUGCUAUGGAGAAAAUAAAGCAGGGAAGGGUGAUAGGGACUCUAGGGGAUGUUGCGAUUUUAAAUAGAUGGUGUGAUAGAUUCAGGAAUACACUGCACAGAUCUGCUUUCAGGGAAGAACAGUGGUCAGCAGAGAGCCUCUAGCCUUCAGCUCCUUCAGGGACUGCCCCAGCUGCUGAGAACCACUGGGUCUCAGUUGUUCCCUUCACAGGGAAGCCCACAUUCAGUAACUGAACAAGAUAGGAGGAUAAAGGCCUGACCAUCAAGACAGACCGAUGAGCAACACUUGCUCUAGAACUCUCUCCUAGAUUGGACAAGGCUUUGUAAGGCGUGUACUGCAGCUGACUUCUCCUGCCUAAUCCUGGUACCUCCCCCUCCCUUCACAGGCAUUGAUUCCUAAUAAACACCCUCUGAGCCAACCUCUAUCACCGUAUCUGCUGCUGGAGAAUGCAACCUGAGACAAGUAAAAGCCUCAUUGUAAAGUUACAUUUUGAGCCAAGAAGGAGAGGAGGGAGUAAGCCAUGUGGAAAUGUGGGCCAAAUACUUUUCUGGAAAAGAAAAGAGCACGUGUUAAGGCAUUGAGGUGAGCACAUGCCAGGGGUUUUGUAGAGACAGCCAGGCACCCCGUGAGGCUGGAGCAGAGUGAGUGAGGGAGUGCUCAGAGAAAAACAGCACAGACAGGUCACCAGACAGACCAUGUUGAGCCCAGAGACCAUUGAUAAGGGCUUUGGUUUUUACUUCAAAUGAGAUAGGAAGCCAUUGGAGAGUUUCGAACAGAAGGCUGGUUUAAUCUGCCUUCAAGUUUUUAAAUUUGUAUUCAUUUAUUUUUCGAGACGAAGUCUCACUCUGUCGUCCAGGCUGGAGUGCAGUGGUGCGAUCCUGGCUCACUGCAACCUCCACCUCCUGGGUUCAAGUGAUUCUCGUGCCUCAGCUUCUCAAGUAGCUGGGACUACAGGCACGUGCCACCACACCCAGCUAAUUUUUGUACUUUUAGUAGAGAGGGUGUCACCAUGUUGGCCAAGCUGGUUUCGAACUCCCAACCCCAGGUGAUCCACCCACUUUGGCCUCCCAAAGUGCUGGGAUUAUUAUAGGCAUGAGCCACUGCGCCUGGGCUAAUCUGCCUUCAAUUUUAAAAGGCAAGAAUAGAAGCAAGGUGUCAGUCAGGAAGUUAUUUGAGAAAUUAACAGGGUAAUUGAGAAAUGAUGUGGCUUUCUAAGGGUGCUGGUGGUGAGAGGACAUCAGAUUCUAGACUUAUGUAGAAGGUAGUACCAGUGAAAUUUGUUGAAUAUUGAAUAUGAGAUAGUUAAGAAUGAUACCAAGAUUUGUGGGCUGAGCAACUGGAAAAGUGGAGCUGCCAGUUACUGAUCUGUGGAAAAUGUAGGAGGAGCAGGUUUGGAAGGGAAGAAGGAGAAUUCAGUUUUGGACAUAGGAAGCUUGAGACGAGUAUUAGGUCUCCAAGUGAAGGGGCUGAGUAGGCAGUUGAAUACAGGAGGUUUUUGUUUGUUUGUUUGUUUGUUUUUGUUUUUUUUGUUUUUUUUUUGAGAUGGAGUCUUGCUCUGUUGCCCAGGCUGGAGUGCAGUGGUGCGAUCUUGGCUCACUGCAACCUCCACCUCCUUGGUUGAAGCAAUUAUCCUGUCUCAGCCUCCCCAGCAGCCGGGAUUACA